GAAGGACCCCGCUUUAAAAGCUAGGGCAGCCAUUCCACGCCCUCUCUUUUGUUCAAAGAUUGAAGAGUCUUGGUGUUCUUCGGUUUUCUGUAUGUGUAAAGUGGUGCGAUGGGACUACUGCUCUAUUGCAAGCUCCUGGCACAGUAAAAGAUGUUAUCCAUUCAGAUAAACUGUAAGGAUUUCCUUAUGGGUGGCAGCAUGUCUAAACAGAAACCCCAACGUGAAGGUGGAUGAGAGCAAGUUACACUUGGAUACAAUAUCCCAGGAAGUAGAGCAGGAACUGUGCUGCGUACAGGAUUUGCAACUCUUGCGUGGAUGACGUGGAAAGUGGUGCGAUGGGACUACUGCUGUAUUGCAAGCUCCUGGCACAGUAAAGGAUUCUAUCCAUACAGAUGUAAUUGUGAAGACACACGGCUUGAUGUUUACAACACUCCUGUACCAAGGCUAUGCAUUUACUAAUAAUGGAAAGGGGCUGAAAUGUUCAGUUGUAUUUGCAUAGAUGUUUGCAUAGAUGUUUUGAUAUUUGCAUAGGAAUUUGGGUGGACUAUCUACCCAACAAAUGUAAUUUAUUGUUAACAAAUCAAUAUUAAUAAAGCUACUCAACAAUC